GGGUACUGCUGUAAAAGCGGCGGCCACCACGUCGAUGAAGACAACCACAACCAACGCUACCGACUGCAUCAGCAGUAGCAGUAGCAGUAGCAUGCACCGCCGCCGAUCACGCAGUGCAUGCCGUUGCCGCCGCAGCUGCUGCCGCCGCGCAGAAACAAAAUAACCUCUCCCUCUCACUUGUUGCGUUUACCCUUUUAUCCGCCGCCCUCGGCUCGGACGAGACGACCCGCUGAACUUAAGCAUAUCGCUAAGCGGAGGAAAAGAAACCAACCGGGAUUCCCUUAGUAACGGCGAGUGAACCGGGAGAAGCCCAACGCCGAAUCCCGUCGCAAGUAAAAGGCUUCGGGACAUGUGGCGCAUGGGUCGAAGGCAGCCGUUCGUUUUCGUCUCGCGUGGAGUUCCCUCGAUCGGGGCCGCCCGUGGCGGGUGCCAGGCCCAUUCGGUGCGGACGGCGAGCGACGGUCUUCGAUCCGAGAGUCGGGUUGCUUGGUAACGCAGCCCAAAUCGGGUGGUAAGCUCCAUCCAAGGCUAAAUACCGGGACGAGUCCGAUAGUCGACAAGUACCGUGAGGGAAAGUUGAAAAGAACUUUGGAGAGAGAGUUCAAGAGAACGUGAAACCGUCCAGGGGUAAACGGGUGGGACCGCUCACCGCGAUCGCGGGGGGACUCAGUCCGGUGCUUCCUAGGCUCGAGCCCAAACUCGAUUAACACAAAGAGGCCGCUGCGGACAUCGUCGUGUCCGUGAGGGUGGGCGGGGGUUCACGCCUCCGAUUCCUCCUUGCGGGCCAGCUUUUGCGCCCGCGUCGCCGACGAAGGAGACGGGCCGCGUAGAUAGUGGGAAGGGAAACGUGGUGACGACGUGGCGCCUCGCGGCGUCACGAAACCGCCGCUUCUUCUUUCCUCUCGCUCCCUCUGCGCGCGUCGCCGCCUAACUAAUUCCGUCCCCUUCUCGCCGCUCGGCAAUCAAUGUCGCGGGCGCUUCGGCGCGACGUAACAAACGACCGCACGGUCGGCACCGGACGCACUUCCCCUCCGGUCCGUCGUCGCGACCCGUUCCCGGCGUGCAGGUCGACACGCGGGUUUUUCCGUAGGCGGCAGGCGCUUCAGAAAACUCCCAUAUAUCCCUUCGGGGGUAUGCGGGAGCCACCAGCCGUCGGGCCCGCGAACGUAACUGCCCCUUUCUGCCGGGGACGGAGGAAAUCUGACGCGAUCCCUUACACGUGGCGAGCCGGUUCGUCUUUAAUCCCGUCAGACGUCUCGUGCGGGGGAUUUCGUAUCCCCCCUUCGGCGCCCCACCGUCUCGGGUGUGUGCGAGAGAAGAGACGGGAGAGAACUGGCGCGGCCUCGCCGUCACGCACCUCGCCGGUGUGCAGGUUCUAGUGGUGUCGGGGGUGACCCCGCCCACGCCCGCGCCGUCCGGUGUGGUCGCUCGGCGACGUCCUUUACGGCCGCCCGCCACUUCGGGUCAGCGACGUGCAUCGGCAACCCACCCGACCCGUCUUGAAACACGGACCGAGAAGUCCUGGCCGUUCGCGAGUCGUAGGGGCCCCCUCUGACUAACCCUGAAGGCGUAGCGAAAGCGAGAGAGCGUGUUGGAGGGCGCCGACCGGGAGAGGUGUCGUGGCGAAGUCGUCUGGGGGUUGUCGGGGGUUAGCAGCGGUUUCGGCCGUCGCUUCUUCCUUGCUUCACCCGCCUCCUAGCCGUGCCCGAUCCCGCCGGUGCGGUGUUCUGCCGCCGUGUGUUUUUUUCCGUCCGUCGUCCACUGCCAUGCGUGUUUGCGUGUGGCGGCGCUAUUCGUCAGGCGGGGGCGCGCGGUUGUUUCCCUCCUCCCCGAGAGGGGACCGGACUAGGGAAUUGUGGGGCACCAGCUUCUAUCCUCCUUCCGCCCAUCGGUGAGAUCCCGCGGCUUGAACUAGUCCUAUUUUGUCGUCGAGUUUAGGCACUGCACGCGGGCGCAUCACCCCCGGGUCGGUGGUUUAACCUUUCCGAGUACGACUCGGCCGACUCAGGUGUAGCGAACGGCCAGGGACCCGAAAGAUGGCGAUCCACGCCCGGUCGGGAUGAAGCCAGAGGAAACUCUGGUGGAAGUCCGAAGCGCCUCUGACGUGCAAAUCGAUCGUCGGAACCGGGUGUAGGGGCGAAAGACCAAUCGAGCCAUCUAGUAGCUGGUUCCCUCCGAAGUUUCCCUCAGGAUAGCUGGCGCUCGAUCUUCGCAAUUCCAUCCGGUAAAGCGAACGAUUGGAGGCCCCGGGGCCGUUCACGGCCUCGACCUACUCUCGAACUCUGAACGGGUGGAACGGGCCGACUCUCCCGAACAACGGAGCCGACCCACAUUUUCUUUGUCUCGCCUGACAAAAGAAAACGAAUGCGAGUGCCAAGUGGGCCACUUUUGGUAAGCAGAACUGGCGCUGUGGGAUGAACCAAACGUCCGGCUAAGGUGCCUAACGCGACGCCCAUGAGAUCCCCGAAAGGGUGUCGGUCGAUAUAGACAGCAGGACGGU
rnacentral:rRNA from 1 species